GAUGAAGAACGUAGCGAAAUGCGAUAAGUAAUGUGAAUUGCAGAAUUCAGUGAAUCAUCGAAUCUUUGAACGCACAUUGCGCCCGCCAGUAUUCUGGCGGGCAUGCCUGUUCGAGCGUCAUUUCAACCAUCAAGCCCCCGGCUUGUGUUGGGGACCUGCGGCUGCCGCAGGCCCUGAAAACCAGUGGCGGGCUCGCUAGUCACUCCGAGCGUAGUAAUACAUCUCGCUCAGGGCGUGCUGCGGGUUCCGGCCGUUAAAAGCCUUAUUUACCCAAGGUUGACCUCGUAUCAGGUAGGAAGACCCGCUGAACUUAAGCAUAUCAAUAAGCGGAGGA
rnacentral:misc_RNA from 1 species